UUCAAACCUGGCUCGCUCCAUCC
rnacentral:piRNA from 1 species